CGCGUAGGCUGUUGAGUAAGUCAAAUGUGAAAUCCCCGGGCUUAACCUGGGAACUGCAUUCGAUACUGCUUAACUAGAGUAUGGUAGAGGGAAGUGGAAUUUCCGGUGUAGCGGUGAAAUGCGUAGAUAUCGGAAGGAACACCAGUGGCGAAGGCGACUUCCUGGGCCAAUACUGACGCUGAGGUGCGAAAGCGUGGGGAGCAAACA
rnacentral:rRNA from 1 species